AACGAACGCUGGCGACGUGCCUAACACAUGCAAGUCGGACGAGAAAGCCCUUCGGGGUGAGUAGAGUGGCGCACGGGUGAGUAAUACAUAGGAACGUACCUAUUGGUGGGGAAUAACUUCGGGAAACUGAAGCUAAUACCGCAUGCGAUAGUAAUAUUAAAGGGGGCCUCCUUACAAUGCUCUCGCCAAUAGAGCGGCCUAUGUCCCAUUAGCUAGUUGGUAGGGUAAUGGCCUACCAAGGCUACGAUGGGUAGCUGGUCUGAGAGGAUGAUCAGCCACACUGGGACUGAGACACGGCCCAG
rnacentral:rRNA from 1 species